rnacentral:lncRNA from 1 species
GGGCGGCGCAAAGGUAAGAGCGGCUUCCUCUUCUCCCCGGAGUCUCACGGGGCGCCGCGCCUGUCUUACUUCACUCGCGCUUUAUCGUUCCUGGUUGACUGCGCGUGGCCACAGAGGCACCGCUGUCGGAACGCGGGUCGGUCCUGUGUCCACACCGGUCGACGGCGGGUGUGGAGCCGCUGUCGGGACGCGGGUCAGUGUGGCACUGAUGUUGUGUUUCGGGGGAAUGGCCUUGGCUGAGGAGAUGUGGCCCAGGCGUCUGCGUGGUUCUCGGGGGGGUCCGCGGGCAGGAAGACGGUCCCCGCUGGUCAAGGCUCUCGCUGGGAGUGGCUCCGAGGGCAGGCAGCGUCACAGCCCACCCCAGCUUGAGAUAGGUCCCCUCCCGGCCUUGGCGCCCGGGGAGGUGAAUGGGCCUGUGGAGUCACAGGCUGCUGCCCAGAGCCAGAGGUCCCCACCUAUAGACGUGCUUCUGUUUCCUAAUCUUUUCCUUUUGCUGUUGUUCCUUGCGAAGUUCAGAGAGGCUAAUUUGUGCAAACCAGAUAACCGUGUGUUUCACAGAUCCCAGCAUCAGAAGGGGUGGUCGUUAUACACGCGGGACGGUCCAGAGGCUGGAGGGACAGACCUGGGCCAGAUCCCGGCCUCCUGCUGUGGAGGCCAAAGUCUCAGGCAGCUCAGCUUUGUGACAGGAAGCCCCCGAGGUGUCCUGGGCAGCAAAGGAGCUUGUCGGCCCACUCCCCGGCCCAGGUUCAGGGGCUGCUGGAUUCUGAAGACAAAUGAGGCCUUCAGAGUUUGGUUCUUCUCUCUCGCCUGCCCUUGGGAUUUGCUUGGGCCGCAUGUCCCAUGACCCCGGAGACAGUAGGAGGGCCCUGGCCCUGAGCCAACCCAGUGGGUGGGGGCCGCGUCCCCCCAGAGGGAAUGAGUGUCUGGUGGGGCGGCAGCCACAAGGACGGCCGCGGCUGCCGGCGGCGGGGAGAGCCUCUUGACUGACAGACCCGGAGCUGCCUGCGCCCUCGCGGGAGGCCCUGUGCUCUGGCGUCACCCUCUGGGACACCCUGUCUGGGACACAAGCGUUUCAUUCCUGAUUCUGACCGUCCACACUUGUUUGCGCCUGGUGGCCCUGUGGUCUACAGGUUGGGAUACUUUUCCU